UUUCUAGUGGCUCAGUUGGUAGAGCAUUGCACUAACAACGCAAAGGUCGUGUUGUUCAAAUCCUUGGCAAA